GAUGAACGCUGGCGGCGUGCCUAAUACAUGCCAGUCGAGCGAACAGACGAGGAGCUUGCUCCUCUGACGUUAGCGGCGGACGGGUGAGUAACACAUGGAUAACCUACCUAUAAGACUGGGAUAACUUCGGGAAACCGGAGCUAAUACCGGAUAAUAUAUUGAACCGCAUGGUUCAAUAGUGAAAGACGGUUUUGCUGUCACUUAUAGAUGGAUCCGCGCCGCAUUAGCUAGUUGGUAAGGUAACGGCUUACCAAGGCGACGAUGCGUAGCCGACCUGAGAGGGUGAUCGGCCACACUGGAACUGAGACACGGUCCAGACUCCUACGGGAGGCAGCAGUAGGGAAUCUUCCGCAAUGGGCGAAAGCCUGACGGAGCAACGCCGCGUGAGUGAUGAAGGUCUUCGGAUCGUAAAACUCUGUUAUUAGGGAAGAACAAAUGUGUAAGUAACUAUGCACGUCUUGACGGUACCUAAUCAGAAAGCCACGGCUAACUACGUG
rnacentral:rRNA from 1 species